rnacentral:rRNA from 1 species
UACGGGGGGGGCAAGCGUUGUUCGGAAUUACUGGGCGUAAAGGGCUCGUAGGCGGCCAACUAGGUCGGAUGUGAAAUCCCCAGGCUUAACCUGGGAACUGCAUCCGAUACUGGAUGGAUUGAAUCCGGGAGAGGGAUGCAGAAUUCCAGGUGUAGCGGUGAAAUGCGUAGAUAUCUGGAGGAAUACCGGUGGCGAAGGCGGCAUCCUGGACCGGCAUUGACGCUGAGUGAGCGAAAGCUAGGUGAGCAAACGGG